rnacentral:rRNA from 1 species
AUUGAACGCUGGCGGCAGGCCUAACACAUGCAAGUCGAGCGAGCGGCGGACGGGUGAGUAAUGUAUGGGGACUGCCCGAUAGAGGGGGAUAACUACUGGAAACGGUAGCUAAUACCGCAUACUAUCGGAUAACCCAUAUGGGAUUAGCUAGUAGGUGAGGUAAUGGCUCACCUAGGCGACGAUCCCUAGCUGGUCUGAGAGGAUGAUCAGCCACACUGGGACGGAGCACCGGCCCAGAUCCUUCCGGAGGCAGCAGGGGGGAAUAUGGCACAAUGGGCGCAAGCCUGAUGCAGCCAUGCCGGGUGUAUGAAGAAGGCCCUAGGGUUGUAAAGUACUUUCAGUCGGGAGGCGUUACCGACAGAAGAAGCACCGGCUAACUCCGUGCCAGAAGCCGCGGUAAAC